CCCUUAGAUGUUCUGGGCUGCACGCGCGCUACACUGACGCACGCAACAGGUGCCUGCUCCGAGAGGACUGGGUAAUCAUUUGAGUGUGCGUCGUGAUGGGGAUAGAAUAUUGUAAUUAUUACUCUUCAACGAGGAAUUCCUAGUACGCGCCAGUCAGCAGCUUGCGCUGAUUACGUCCCUGCCCUUUGUACACACCGCCCGUCGCUCCUACCGAUGGGUGAUCCGGUGAAUGAUUCGGACUUCAGCGGCUCCCCUGGGGUGCGCCGGAGAAAGUUUUGUGAACCUUAUCACUUGGAGGAAGGAGAAGUCGUAACA
rnacentral:rRNA from 1 species